GAUGAACGCUAGCGGCAGGCCUAAUACAUGCAAGUCGAGGGGUAGAGGUUGCUUGCAACCUUGAGACCGGCGCACGGGUGCGUAACGCGUAUGCAACCUACCCUUUUCUGGGGGAUAGCCCGGAGAAAUCCGGGUUAAUACCGCAUAAGACCACGGGACGGCAUCGUCCAGGGGUCAAACAUUUAUGGGAGAAGGAUGGGCAUGCGUGCCAUUAGCUAGUUGGCGGGGUAACGGCCCACCAAGGCGACGAUGGCUAGGGGAACUGAGAGGAUGGCCCCCCAAACUGGUACGGAGACCCGGACCAGACUCCUACAGGAGGCAGCAGUAAGGAAUAUUGGUCAACGGGGGCAACCCUUAACCAGCCAUGCCGCGUGCAGGACGACGGCCCUCCGGGUUGUAAACUGCUUUUGUACGGGAAUAAACACCGAUACGUGUAUCGGCUUGAAUGUACCGUAAGAAUAAGGAUCGGCUAACUCCGUGCCAGCAGCCGCCGUAA
rnacentral:rRNA from 1 species